rnacentral:rRNA from 1 species
AUUGAACGCUGGCGGCAUGCCUUACACAUGCGAGUCGAACGGUAACAGGUCUUCGGAUGCUGACGAGUGGCGAACGGGUGAGUAAUACAUCAGAACGUGCCCAGUAGUGGGGGAUAACUACUCGAAAGAGUGGCUAAUACCGCAUGAGAUCUACGGAUGAAAGCAGGGGAUCGCAAGACCUUGUGCUACUAGAGCGGCCGAUGGCAGAUUAGGUAGUUGGUGGGAUAAAAGCUUACCAAGCCGACGAUCUGUAGCUGGUCUGAGAGGACGAUCAGCCACACUGGGACUGAGACACGGCCCAGACUCCUACGGGAGGCAGCAGUGGGGAAUUUUGGACAAUGGGCGAAAGCCUGAUCCAGCAAUGCCGCGUGCAGGAUGAAGGCCUUCGGGUUGUAAACUGCUUUUGUACGGAACGAAAAGCCCCGGGUUAAUACCCUGGGGUCAUGACGGUACCGUAAGAAUAAGCACCGGCUAACUACGUGCCAGCCGCCGCAGUAA